rnacentral:rRNA from 1 species
AGAGUUUGAUCCUGGCUCAGGACGAACGCUGGCGGCGUGCCUAAUACAUGCAAGUCGAGCGAGCUUGCCUAGAUGAUUUUAGUGCUUGCACUAAAUGAAACUAGAUACAAGCGAGCGGCGGACGGGUGAGUAACACGCGGGUAACCUGCCCAAGAGACUGGGAUAACACCUGGAAACAGAUGCUAAUACCGGAUAACAACACUAGACGCAUGUCUAGAGUUUGAAAGAUGGUUCUGCUAUCACUCUUGGAUGGACCUGCGGUGCAUUAGCUAGUUGGUAAGGUAACGGCUUACCAAGGCAAUGAUGCAUAGCCGAGUUGAGAGACUGAUCGGCCACAUUGGGACUGAGACACGGCCCAAACUCCUACGGGAGGCAGCAGUAGGGAAUCUUCCAUAAUGGACGAAAGUCUGAUGGAGCAACGCCGCGUGAGUGAAGAAGGGUUUCGGCUCGUAAAGCUCUGUUGGUAGUGAAGAAAGAUAGAGGUAGUAACUGGCCUUUAUUUGACGGUAAUUACUUAGAAAGUCACGGCUAACUACGUGCCAGCAGCCGCGGUAAUACGUAGGUGGCAAGCGUUGUCCGGAUUUAUUGGGCGUAAAGCGAGUGCAGGCGGUUCAAUAAGUCUGAUGUGAAAGCCUUCGGCUCAACCGGAGAAUUGCAUCAGAAACUGUUGAACUUGAGUGCAGAAGAGGAGAGUGGAACUCCAUGUGUAGCGGUGGAAUGCGUAGAUAUAUGGAAGAACACCAGUGGCGAAGGCGGCUCUCCGGUCUGCAACUGACGCUGAGGCUCGAAAGCAUGGGUAGCGAACAGGAUUAGAUACCCUGGUAGUCCAUGCCGUAAACGAUGAGUGCCAAGUGUUGGGAGGUUUCCGCCUCUCAGUGCUGCAGCUAACGCAUUAAGCACUCCGCCUGGGGAGUACGACCGCAAGGUUGAAACUCAAAGGAAUUGACGGGGGCCCGCACAAGCGGUGGAGCAUGUGGUUUAAUUCGAAGCAACGCGAAGAACCUUACCAGGUCUUGACAUCCAGUGCAAACCUAAGAGAUUAGGUGUUCCCUUCGGGGACGCUGAGACAGGUGGUGCAUGGCUGUCGUCAGCUCGUGUCGUGAGAUGUUGGGUUAAGUCCCGCAACGAGCGCAACCCUUAUCUUCAGUAGCCAGCACGUAGAGGUGGGCACUCUGGAGAGACUGCCAGGGAGAACCUGGAGGAAGGUGGGGAUGACGUCAAAUCAUCAUGCCCCUUAUGUCCAGGGCUACACACGUGCUACAAUGGCGUAAACAAAGGGAAGCGAACACGCGAGUGUAAGCGAAUCUCAAAAAUAACGUCCCAGUUCGGAUUGCAGUCUGCAACUCGACUGCAUGGAGCUGGAAUCGCUAGUAAUCGCGAAUCAGAAUGUCGCGGUGAAUACGUUCCCGGGUCUUGCACACACCGCCCGUCA